GGCAGUAGUAGCUCAGUGGUUAAGAUGUUGGACUUCAACUGAGAAGGUGUGAGUUCAAAUCCCAGCUCUGCCA
rnacentral:tRNA from 1 species